rnacentral:rRNA from 1 species
CGUUCCUACGGGGGGCAGCAGUGAGGAAUAUUGGUCAAUGGGCGAGAGCCUGAACCAGCCAAGUCGCGUGAAGGAUGACGGCCGUAUGGGUUGGAAACUUCUUUUGUCAGGGAGCAAUUGGGUCCACGUGUGGGCUUAGCGAGAGUACCUGAAGAAAAAGCAUCGGCUAGCUCCGUGCCAGCAGCCGCGGUAAUUCGGAGGAUGUGAGCGGUAUCCGGAUUUAUUGGGUUUA